GUUGCUUUUGCAGAUGCAGAGGGACGAGCUCUGCACCAAAGGGCAACAGAGGAGACGCGAGCAGAGUGCCGUAACAAGGUGCAGAGUGUGAUAUUGGCACCGGAGCUGACUCAGGCAAGGUGGUACCCAGGCCUCAAGGUGGUAACCUGUCAAUGGCAGAGGCCAGACAGGCGAGUGGCCAAGGUGCCACAAGCAGGAUCAGAAGGGUGAAGCUGCAUGCCAAUGAGCAGUCCAAGGUGCCUUGCAGGCUGCCUUUGGACUUGGAUGGGCAUUUGAGGUGCCACAAGUGAUGACAGCUGCAGCAUCCAAUGGAAUCUGUGUGGAGCAGAUGUGUUGUCAUAAGCAUCUCGUGAUGCUCAGCAGAUGCCCCCAGCCCAGGUUUGCCUGCCGGUCAUUAAGCAUAGUGAUGGUAUGGGGCCAGCCCUGUGUGGGGAGGCUCCUGGCUCUGUCUCCAGUGAGUGCCCCGCAGGUGCUGUCUGGUGGGGAGAGUGCAGGGCCAAGAGGGACUGGGGUUGUUUGUGCCCUGGGGAGCCCAUCCCAGGGCGGGAAUGGAGGAGGAACAGUGUGGAGCAGAGCCUGAGCAAGAGACGUGGCACCAUCCUCUGGCACGCUCCCCUCUGUGGGGCACCUGGUGGGGAUUAUCUGGUGUGGGUCAGUUAUCCAGAGUGGAUUAUCUGUUGCGGGUUAUCCCAGGUGAGUCACCUGCUGUGGAUUAUUCUGGGUGGACCCCCUGGUGUUGACGCGCGGAACAAACUUUACAACUCAGAGAGUGAGUUAGAAAGCAGGCAUGUUUAUUUCAGCGCUGGGUACAAGAGGGAUCGCUCCACCUAUCAUGCACACUGUAAAGCUCGUUAGUGAAGUUUAAAUACAUGUGUGAUAUAAGUAUUCAUUACAUUUCCCAGAAACCUUAUACGUAUUCAUUACAUUUCUGAGAAAUAAUUAACAUAUGCAAAUGCCCUUUGCGCAGUCGCAGUUGUUGCCUUGGGUGGUCGUCAGGUGUUCAUCGGGGGUCUUAUAAUCCUCUUCCUCGCUUAACCAUUCUUUACCCUUUUCAAUAUUUUGAUACUAAAAUUCUGUUUUUCCUUUGUUCUUCUUGUAUCUUUCAUGCCAAAUAAUCUUUGACUCCCAAAGUGCUGUUCUCAUGCCAACAAAUCACCCCUUAUCUUCUUACUUGCGUUUUCAGUUUCUCUCGUCCUUGAGUCCAUAUGUCUGUU